CUCCUGUGGCAAUACACAGAAGAUCUUGCAAUAUUUUUUAUUCCAUCAAGCGUAGACCAAUUUCAGUAUGUGCGCAUAGCACUCCUUUGGCGUUUGGGUUUUGCAGAUCUGCAGUUGUUACCAGAACAUUAUUCUCCUCUUGAUAUGAGCAGCAGAAAUGCUGCUUUACUUCAUUAACCCUAAGGCAUAGAGGGCUUAGUGUUUGAUUACUGGAUGCUUUUUGAUAUCAACUGGAGGGUGUUGAGAGGUUCUCUGAGCUCUUUUCUAUAAUUAACUAAUUCUGGGUUUCUUUCUUCUGUUCUUUUAUGGGAAUUACAUCUGGUUUUCAACUCACUGGAAGUUAGUACGCAUUGCAUGAGUAUUCGUCUCAUAGUAAUUUGUGAUUCAGUGAAUGGAGUGACUGAUUGGCUGAUGAAACUGCUCCCUCAGCAGAGGUAGGGAGCAGGCACAAUGAGACCUAAAAGACCACUGCAGAAAAGUUCACCAAAAGGAAUCUUCAGCAAUGAAGAUGGUGUCCUCAGGUCUUAGUCUUAUUUGUGAAACCCAAAUAUACUGGAAUAGCUCCUUGGAAAGUUUGAGCCCUGCAGAAACUGGCCACAGUGUCCAUAUAGAAUUAUAUGAAGAGAAUAGCCUUGCAGUGCUGUUUUUCUGACCCAUCCCACAGAUUACCCACUUCCCACUAACUUCAGUUCCAGACCCUGCAAACAAACGGAUCUUUGUGAAAAAGUAGGCAGGAGAUCACAGCAAAGUAGGACUGAUGACAGCACUUGACUAUCCCACAGACACACAAGGUCCUGCACUACAGAGAGGGUAUGGCGAAGUCAAAGCUAUGCGCGGUUCUUCUAGGCCUUUCCUUCCAUAAUAAAAUCUCACUGCUGCUUGAUUUCUGCAAAUAAAAGGCAAACGCUUCAUCUUGCUUUGGACAAGGAAGAGGAACUGUGGUUAGGUUUGCUUGUAGCUAUCAUCACAAUGGUCAGGGUCUGGAGUUUGUAAAAUUUUCUUCCCAAAUAUUGAAAGCAUUCUUCCUAAGUCUCUAAAGCAGCCUCAUCUAUCAAAGUUUGAGAUAAAAAUCUGCAAGAUAUCAUUACUUACCAAUGUGCUAAAUGCGAAGCACUUUGAUCUCAGUUUAGAGAAUGGGUGCUACCAACUCCCACUCCCUGCCAGAUAUUCUGAGGUGCCACCCGCUGUUUUUUUCUUUUACUUUUUUUUUUUUUUUUUUUUGGUCUUUCUGAGACUGGCCUGGAACUUGCAAUGAUCCUCCUGCCUCACCGUCCCAAGUGCAAGGAUUACAGGCAUGUGCAUACCCUGUUUUUUCCUUUGGGCCAACAAAUUCUCUAGAGUUAAAAAUCCUCGGGCUACCUGCCACUGUGAGGCUGGCAGUGGCAGAGGCCUUCUGCACCUUGCACCUCAGGAAGGGCACUCCCUACACAUGGCUUGUUGUUUCUGUCAUCUGGGAGCCACAGAAUCUUAAUAGAAACUUGAACUGCAGAAAGACACACCUCUGAACACUUUCCACAGAUACUGUAAUAGAUUGUCAUGGAAUAUUACUUCUUAGUAGCCAAAGGGAGGUAAAAAAUUAAACUGCUAUUCAUUUGCUAGACUGGGAGGGUCUACAAAGGCUUCAGGGCGAAACACAACCCACAUCUGGCAAAUUUCUUCAUAGAGCAGAAAUACUGCCCAAGGGCAUGAUCUCUGUCUCAGCCUCUCACACAGUUAACAAAAACUCAGCUCGAACCAACAGUCAUCUAAAAACCCAUUUGUAUUAUGCUCGUUGUAGAAUAUAUGGAAAAAAUCUCUCCAACCAACUGUGUAAGGGUGAACCCUGGUCCAGAAUCCCUCUCACCUCCACCUACCCGGGCAGCUACAGUUUGAGGCAUGUCUUUGUUUGGUUGGCAGGUGGGGAGAACAGGACCAUGGCUUCCUGACAAGGAAUUCAGAGGGCUCCUCCUUAGCUGGGCAGGAAGAAACUGAGAAUGCCUGUGGAUCUGUAGACCAGCUCUGCCAGGUGCUGCCUCCUGCGGAUCGGACAUCUGCCCUCAAAGGCCUCCUCACACAGGCGCUGUCCGAGGGGUGGAUGUGAGCAGGACAGUGAAGAGCACUUCUGCCUCUUCACCUCCUGACUGCCUGUUCCUCACCUUUCCUCUCCCCACUCCAGUUCUCCAGGCACAGGAGUUCUAAUCACUCUCCAGAUUCCUGAAGUCAUCCUAUGAUGGCUCCCACCUCCAGAAUAUUCCCACCUAGAGCCUCUUCUCUGAACUGAUUCACACUUCAUCAUGAAUGACUGACAGUGCUCUUAUUACAUCCAGAAAGUUUGCAUUUGAAGAGGCCUGCUAGGCAAAACAACCAAUAGUGGGGCCGUUUUAGGAACCAUGGAGUAAACUGAACCACAUGUGGGGAGAAGGCAGUGGCAGCUGUGUAUCCAGCGCUAACGCAGGCAGGUCUGGGUGUCGGCGCCUUGUGCCGCCAUGGUUCUCCUGGGGAGCCACUGAGCAGGGGCGACCUGGCUGACGGGAAGUGGGGACCCACAAGACAGGCACAUUCUGGAAAAUCUUCAGACGUCUUUCGGCCAGUCUUCUUACUCCAUGGGCAAGCAACUUGUCCACGAAGAACCGCAGCUGCCCCCGCAGCGCCUGCCCUUUCCCUGUCCACUACAGCCUGAGGGCUGGCCUGCUGGCCUCCCCCAUAGGCCAGGUCUCCCGCUGGGCGUUCCUCGGGGACCACAGGAAGUGGAAGGGCUGGGGGCACAGGUGCUUCCAGGUGGCGCAUGGUCCUGAGCUGCAGGCCUCCUCCUUAGGAGCUGCAGCUGGCGGUUCCUAUCGCACGCUGCCUGCGGUGCAGCAGAGCAGAGGCCUCCCCAGGGUGCUCCCCAAGCCGAGGACCGUCCACGCUGCAAUUCCCAGCGCCCACUUGGCCAGGAUGGACUGCUGCGGGCGGCCUGGCUUUUCCCGUUCCUAUCCCCACACGCAGCUCUGAGAGAAGCCGCGUCCCGGGAGGUAGGAGCUGGAGGCAGAGCCAGGAACCCAUGCAGGAAGUUCAGCCUACAUAUUCUUUGCCAGAUACAAGUACCUUCUCUGGGAUCUAUCAUCAGAUAUAAUCAAACUCAUCAACCCUCCCCUGUAAGGGGCUGACGUAAGAAGAAAUGAAUUUGCCUUACCAGGGCUUGUUAACUAUUACAUGAAGCAAGUGCAGAAGCGAGGAACUGUGCCUGACCCGUGUCCGAAUGCGAUCUGCUAUGUGGAGGCACCGAACACUUUUGGGAAAAGUGAAGUUCUCCUUGUGUGGCUGGGUGCAGAUGUAAGGACUAGCUCCCUACCAGUCCACUGCUGACCUGAUGACGGGGAUUAAUUCAUUACUGUUGGGAACAGAUGAAAAUCUCCACUCUGGAUUAGGUAUCCUGUGCUACAGCUCCCACAGGGAAGAAGAGGUUAUCCUAUUACUCAUACAUGAAAGUAUGGACAACUAUUUUGAAGAGAAUGAGAGAUACUAUGGCAGCCAUUGUUGACUUCCUUAUUAUCUGGCCUUGAAGACCUAAAAUGCCUUCAUCAUCCUGCUCUCAUCAGUUCUAUACUAUUUUGUUUUGUGGGAAUUCAUUGUAUGUGAAGAUAUAGACAACUAUUUGGAAGAAAACAAGAGACAAAAUGAUAGACAGUGACGAUUUCUAGUUGUCUUGUUUGGAAAUCUUUAUCUUAUAUUGUUAUCUUAUGAUGUUUUGUUCUGUUUCUUUAUGUUUAAUUUUACCCUCUUUAAAAAAGACAAAAACAAAAAAUGUGUUUGCUUGAAGGAGAAUGUUGUUUUAAAAAUCUUUCUUACUGAACUGCCUUUUUCUGUGUUUUGGCUAUAGAAAAUCAGCUUUGUUUUGUUGAUUCUUUUGUCUGUGCCUACUGGUGUUUCCAGCUUGUGAGCUGCUUCUGCUGGAAAUCCCUGGCAAUCAUCUAUCACAUUGUUUCUUGAUCAUAAGUGACCCUACCUGUCUGCCAUGUUUUCUUUGUCUUUCAGAGUCUCUUAUGUUUCUGUAAUGCUUAAGGACUUCAGUUGUAGUUAGUAGGAAAACAUGAAAUAGUAUGUCUACUCUUUCUUCCUAGAAAGUGCAAGUCUCUCCAAAAACUUUUCAGCAAUCUCAUAAAAAGACACAGGACAUUUCUUAUCAAAAAUCCUACACUACUUAGUGGUUGUAUAAGUCUGGGUUUCCUAGAGAAACAGAUAUAACACAAAUAUACAAAUGUAUAAGAAAUUAAAAGAUUGGCUUACAAUGGUCAGCCACAAAGUUGAAUGAGAGAGCGUCUGCUCACUGCAGGUUGAAGGGUCCAGCCCAAGGUCUGGAGCUUACUGCAGUGUUCUGUGCAAGUCUGUGUCAGGAGGUCAAGGGGUCUAAACGUGGAACACUGAAAAAUCUACAAUGGAAGGCUAGAGAGUGUAUGACAAAGACUGAAAGGUCUAAGGUGAAUGCUAGAGUCCCAGGAAAAAGUGAACAAUCUGUGCCAGAAGCCAGGAGAAGAUAUCCAAGCUGAAGGUGAAGGCUGGAGCUGCACUGAAGAACCAGCAUUCAUUCCCUCCUCGGCUUCCUUUUGUUGUAUGCGGCUGCUCCCCUGGGGUGGUAUAGCACUCACACAUCUGUGUGCCUUCCUCUUGCAGGCUGAGGCAGUUACUACUUUGGCCCCCUGCUGAAUCACUUAGUUAAACUUCUGAGCUUCUCAAAUUGACACAAUGAACAUUAUCCUAGAAUGGUAAUGGCUUGUCCUCUGCACCCAGGAUGUAAACUGCUGAGUCACUUAGUUAAGCUUCUAGACUUCUCAAGUUGACACAGUGCAUAAACCAUAAUAUUGGUGAAUUAAUAUCUCUGACGUGAACUUCAGUGCUCCCUGUAAUAUUGAAGAAACUAUUUUGUCUCAAUGAAAUAUUUUGGAACAUUUGUUCACUAAUGUAGGGAGUAGCCUGUCAGUCAUCUCUGUUUGUUCUCAUUGUGUAUCUGUUUGAAUUUUCCUGCAAAUGCUCCAUUGCUCCUUACCUAGACCUCUUAUUUUGAAAUUUGAGCAUCUUUGGUUCUACUGUGUCAUGUCAGUUACUCAAAUUACAGGUGCUAAACAUCUCUAAUUUUCAUUGCAACAAAUGCAACCAGUACACUGAAUUGACUGUGAAGCAGAGGUCUGAUUUUUCCACAGUACAAAUUUGUAGAAAAAGCCAAGGUAUGUUAUAGAUGUUCUAGGGAAAUAUAGUGAAAAAAAGUUAAAUCACUUGUUUAUAUCCUAUAUAAAAGCAAAAUUCGUAGAACUGCUUCUAGUCCAUUUAUUUUGCUCUAUUGAGUUUUGUUUUUGUCGCUUGUAAAAGACAUUCUCUCUGUGUGUGUGUCUCUCUCUCUCUCUCUGUUUCUCUCUCUGUGUGUGUGACUUUUUAAAUUGUCUUAAUACUCAGUAGGAUAAAGAGUGAGUCAUGGCUAUUUUGUGUGUUUUACUUUUCCAUAUAAACAUGAAAAUGCUUGUAGACCUCUAAAAAUUGUGCAGUCUUUAAAAUAAUUUUGUUCAAGUGGGAAGGGGAACUAAGGAGUGGUGAGAGGGUAAGGAAGGAAGGGAAAAGAAAAAAACGAGGAAAGAAGAAAAAAAUGGAAACAAAGUUUUUGUAAAUAAGGGGGAAGAGAAUGUGAAGGGAAGGGGAUGGGAUGGGAAAAAAUCAAGUUAUAUUGUGUACAGGUACAAAUUCCCUGUGAGAUGAAUAUGAUCAUUAUUCAUAUCUAUGAAGUACCAGUCAAUGUAAUUAAUAAAAAAGACCUCCCCCAAUAAAGAAUUUUUGGUCAUACUGGAGGGAAAAAUUUUGUAUCGAACUAACUCAAAUAUGUUCUAUUUGUUCAGAUUUUCUUUGGUAGUUAAAGUGCCUCAGUAUUUCCCUUAUCUCAAGACCUGGUCUCUACUAGUUUACUUUCUGCUUUCUUGAUUUCUACAAUGUUAUGAUAUGUUUAUUGCCUCAAUAAUUCUUUUAUUAAUUCCAAUAUUUCCUUGACUUUUUCUUUCUGUAAAUAAUCAUAGCAUUCUUCCUUUGCUGUUAGUGUGCUUUCUACCUUUUCUUUCUCAGUGUUAAGACAUUCAGUACUAUGCUGAACAAUCACAGAAAUCAUUCUUAUUUUGUUCCAGCUUCUAAGGAGAAUAUACUUAACUGCAGUUAAUCAGUUCUCAUAAACUAUUUAGAAUUUCUAUGCAUGCAUGAGACUACAUGUAUAUCUAUCCUUUCUGUAUUAGAGGGAAAAACAACACAAAGCAAGACAAAACAAAACAAAUUCCUAAAAAAAACGUGAAAUGAAAAAGUCAUAUAAAACCACAGUACAAGGUAGUCUACAAUGGUUACUAUGAUGUCUCUUGUUAUCUUCAAUAGAAUCGUCUAUAUCAUAGACAUAGGUAUAGUAUAAUUGAACAUAGCAGUACAUAACAAUAUUAAUAAAAAUAAAACAUUGGAGACAUUAUAGGACUUCAAAAGCAGUUAAUAAUCAAACCGGAAUGGGCAUCCUAUUGAAUCUUGUCUUUACUCUGAGACUUGAUACUAUUAAGCAUAUCAGAUUCAAAUAAAUUAGACAAAACAAAACAGCGAUCUAACAAACCAGAGUCAAACAAGAUCAGUGCUAACUAGCUUUCUUAAAAUAAACUUUAUGUAAUAGAUUUCUGUUCUUUAUUUUUAUUUUCUUUGGCUUUCACUUUAAAGAAAUUUAUGACUGGUGCUUAACAUAGUUAUUUUAUCUUUCUAAUUUUAAAAUAUAUUUACUUUUUAGCUGUAAAUACUUUAAUAAACUUGUUUUGUCCCAUA